GUCUACGGCCAUGCCACCCUGAACGUGCCUGAUCCCGGCUGAUCUCAGAAGCUAAGCAGAGUUGGGCCUGGUUAGUAGUUGGAUGGGAGACCACCUAGGAAGACCAGGUACUGUAGGUG
rnacentral:rRNA from 1 species